GAUGAACGCUGGCGGCGUGCCUAAUACAUGCAAGUCGAGCGAACAGACGAGGAGCUUGCUCCUCUGACGUUAGCGGCGGACGGGUGAGUAACACGUGGAUAACCUACCUAUAAGACUGGGAUAACUUCGGGAAACCGGAGCUAAUACCGGAUAAUAUAUUGAACCGCAUGGUUCAAUAGUGAAAGACGGUUUUGCUGUCACUUAUAGAUGGAUCCGCGCCGCAUUAGCUAGUUGGUAAGGUAACGGCUUACCAAGGCAACGAUGCGUAGCCGACCUGAGAGGGGGCUCGCCCCACCUGGACCUGAACACGGGCCCAACCCCCAAGGGGGGGCAGCAGGGGGGAAUCUUCCGAAAGGGGGGAAAGCCUGACGGAGCAACGCCGGGGGGGUGAUGAAGGGUUUCGGAUCGUAAAACCUUUUUAUUAGGGAAAAAAAAAUGUGUAAGUAACUAUGCACGUCUUGACGGUACCUAAUCAGAAAGCCCCGGCUAACUACGU
rnacentral:rRNA from 1 species